UAGUCUGGUGCCAGCAGCCGCGGUAAUUCCAGCUCCAAUAGCGUAUAUUAAAGUUGUUGCAGUUAAAACGCUCGUAGUCGGAUUUCGGGGCGGGUCCGCCGGUCUGCCGAUGGGUAUGCACUGGCGGGCGCGUCCUUCCUUCCGGAGACUGGCCCUACUCUUAACUGAGCGGGGUCGGGAGUCGGAUCGUUUACUUUGAAAAAAUCAGAGUGUUUCAAGCAGGCAGCUCGCUCUUGCAUGGAUUAGCAUGGGAUAAUGAAAUAGGACUUUGGUGCUAUUUUGUUGGUUUCGAACACCGAAGUAAUGAUUAACAGGGACAGUCAGGGGCACUCGUAUUCCGCCGAGAGAGGUGAAAUUCUCAGACCAGCGGAAGACGAACCACUGCGAAAGCAUUUGCCAGGGAUGUUUUCACUGAUCAAGAACGAAAGUUAGGGGAUCGAAGACGAUCAGAUACCGUCGUAGUCUUAACCAUAAACCAUGCCGACUAGGGAUUGGGGGAAGUCCUUCUUUGACUCCCUCAGCACCUUAAGGGAAACUAUAGUUUUUGGGUUCCGGGGGGAGUAUGGUCGCAAGGCUGAAACUUAAAGGAAUUGACGGAAGGGCACCACCAGGAGUGGAGCCUGCGGCUUAAUUUGACUCAACACGGGGGAACUUACCAGGUCCAGACAUUGGAAGGAUUGACAGAUUGAGAGCUCUUUCUUGAUUCGAUGGGUGGUGGUGCAUGGCCGUUCUU
rnacentral:rRNA from 1 species